GAACUACUUUCAAAACUGGAGUCACCUGUUUUAAAAAUCUGUGGCUUAUUUUGAUAUGCAUGAAAGCCUCUGGAAAGUCUUUGAACGUGUGAAGACUGAAGUGGAGCAGAUUCCUUGGUGAGGAUCUUUCCAAAGGUCCUUUGGUAUAUACCAGCUGCAGACUGAGUCAGCGGAGUCAUUAUAAACCCAGACCAGCUGGAAAACCAGCAGCUUCCUUUUCCUGUCUCUUGGAAUGCUCAGUCCAAUAUGUUGGGAGAAACCAAGCAGACACAUAGGAGGUCCCUUAUAGUUGUUCUAGCUGACAGCUCCAGUGACCUAGCAAACUGCCAGCAUCAAUUGCUAGACAUAUGAAAAAUUGAGGAACCAAGAAGUGAAGUAAUUUCUACCACCUCUUAAUAUUGGACAUUUUAGUGGCUAACAAUGCUGUGAUAUUAUAAACAACGUUGCCACGAAUGUCAUUGUUCAUGUUCUUAAAGAAUGUCUUUAUGAUAAAUUCCAAAAAGUAGAACUACUGGGUCUAAAGGUGUUUACGUUUCUAAAAGUUUUUGUAACAGACUCUCAGAUAUUUCCUUCAGGGGGACUACAUUAUUUACACUUCAUUCAACAACGUGAGUAUAUGAUGCUCCGUAUCUCAUUUCAAUCCCUGUCGGACAAAAAGGUAUCUGAAUGCUACUUUAAUUUACAUAAAAACGAGAUUUCAUUUUUAAUGAUUUCUGUAAGCACUCUUUGUAUACUAAUCCUGUCGCUGACAAGUGGUAAAUAUUUGUUUACAUGCUACA